AAAACGGAGCCUGUGAGGCCAUUCUGGGAUGUGUAGUUUCACAACAUCUGCAGAGCCACAGGUUGGCCAGGCCUGCUCUAUCAGAUCUGUCUCAGGAGGGGGCGUGGCCUGUGCUCACACUUCCCUGCCUGGCUGCACAGUCUUAACAGCCUCUCUCCCCCGUGCUCCCCGCCCCUGUGAUGCUGCCAAUGGAAGAGCCGACCCAGUGGAAAGCCCAGCACCGUUGUCAGUGGGGGAGGACCCAGGAGCAGCAGCAGGAGACCCAGGAGCAGCAGCAGCAGGAGACCCAUGAGCAGCAGCAGGGGACACAGGAGCAGCAGCAGCAGGAGACCCAGGAGCAGCAGCAGCACCCGAGGACCCAGAAGCAGUACUAGUGGCAGCAGCAGCAGCGGUUGAGAAUCCGCUGGGAGCCUGUGACAGGAGGCAGCAGUAUGUGCUCCCAGUACUCCUGCAGUGCAUGGUGUAACCCAGCAGCCGGCUACCACCAGAUGCAUUGCUUUGAUAUGUUCUGUUUGAGGGAAUAUCGAAAAAUGUAACAUUUGCAAAACAGUAAAACAUCUCACUGCCGUGACUACAUUCCUGUGGAUAUAAGAUGGCCAUGACAAACCCUACUGGCAUUAUUAUUACACCGAGGAGAAGGAUAAAGCAGGGCAAUGUAUUGUUGGCAUGGUACCAGUGAUCCGCUGACAAUUUUAUAUAGCACGCAGUAGGGAUGAUGAAGACGAGAGGAGUCGCGCUCAGAACACCCUGAGAAAAUAAAAUAUACAUUAUAAAUUCACUUUGAAUUUUUCUUACAAAAAUAUAAAAAAUAUACUUCC